rnacentral:rRNA from 1 species
GACGUAGGGGGCGAGCGUUGUCCGGAUUUAUUGGGCCUAAAGCAUCCGUAGCCGGUUCUACAAGUCUUCCGUUAAAUCCACCUGCUUAACAGAUGGGCUGCGGAAGAUACUAUAGAGCUAGGAGGCGGGAGAGGCAAGCGGUACUCGAUGGGUAGGGGUAAAAUCCGUUGAUCCAUUGAAGACCACCAGUGGCGAAGGCGGCUUGCCAGAACGCGCUCGACGGUGAGGGAUGAAAGCUGGGGGAGCAAACCGG